rnacentral:rRNA from 1 species
AUCAUUAACUGAAUCCAUAGGUUAAUGAGGCGAACCGGGGGAACUGAAACAUCUAAGUACCCCGAGGAAAAGAAAUCAACCGAGAUUCCCCCAGUAGCGGCGAGCGAACGGGGAGGAGCCCAGAGCCUGAAUCAGUGUGUGUGUUAGUGGAAGCGUCUGGAAAGGCGCGCGAUACAGGGUGACAGCCCCGUACACAAAAAUGCACAUACUGUGAGCUCGAUGAGUAGGGCGGGACACGUGGUAUCCUGUCUGAAUAUGGGGGGACCAUCCUCCAAGGCUAAAUACUCCUGACUGACCGAUAGUGAACCAGUACCGUGAGGGAAAGGCGAAAAGAACCCCGGCGAGGGGAGUGAAAAAGAACCUGAAACCGUGUACGUACAAGCAGUGGGAGCCUCUUAAUGGGGUGACUGCGUACCUUUUGUAUAAUGGGUCAGCGACUUAUAUUCUGUAGCAAGGUUAACCGAAUAGGGGAGCCGAAGGGAAACCGAGUCUUAACUGGGCGUUAAGUUGCAGGGUAUAGACCCGAAACCCGGUGAUCUAGCCAUGGGCAGGUUGAAGGUUGGGUAACACUAACUGGAGGACCGAACCGACUAAUGUUGAAAAAUUAGCGGAUGACUUGUGGCUGGGGGUGAAAGGCCAAUCAAACCGGGAGAUAGCUGGUUCUCCCCGAAAGCUAUUUAGGUAGCGCCUCGUGAAUUCAUCUCCGGGGGUAGAGCACUGUUUCGGCAAGGGGGUCAUCCCGACUUACCAACCCGAUGCAAACUGCGAAUACCGGAGAAUGUUAUCACGGGAGACACACGGCGGGUGCUAACGUCCGUCGUGAAGAGGGAAACAACCCAGACCGCCAGCUAAGGUCCCAAAGUCAUGGUUAAGUGGGAAACGAUGUGGGAAGGCCCAGACAGCCAGGAUGUUGGCUUAGAAGCAGCCAUCAUUUAAAGAAAGCGUAAUAGCUCACUGGUCGAGUCGGCCUGCGCGGAAGAUGUAACGGGGCUAAACCAUGCACCGAAGCUGCGGCAGCGACACUAUGUGUUGUUGGGUAGGGGAGCG